ensembl:snoRNA
UGCUUUGGUAUUUAUGGACAAGUGGCAAAAAAUAAAUCUUCUUUUGCAACCCAGAACUGACUGUUUAGUGUGAGCUUUGAAUACCUAUGAGAAGGACUAUU